GUGAGAGCACCUGAAAUCUACUCUUUUUAGCAAAUUUCCAGUGUGUGAUAUAGUAUUAUAAUCUAUAGUCAUCAUGCUGUACUUGGUAUCUCUAGACUUAUUUAUCCUAUAUAAUUGCAACUUUGAACUUUUUGACCAUAAUCUCAUUUUUCUCACCUCCCGGCCCCAGUAGGUCACCAGGCUAAUCAUUAGUUACCCAGAACUUAUUAAUCUUAUAACUGAGAGUUUGUACCUUUGACCAGUGUCUCCCUCUACCCAGGGAUCAGAUUUCCUUGGGAAUGAUCAGAAGGUCAUCCUCAAAGCCACGCAGGAUGGGUGCAGACAGAUGGGUCUCCAUGCUCUGUCACCUAAUUCUACGGGAGUGGCUCUGUUCGCAACUACUUUACAUCGUUGCAAUUCCUGGUAAGAAUUUCAUGAUUUAACACAAAUUUCCUCAUUUUACAGAUGAAGAAAGUGAGCCUCAGCGGAGCGCAUUGCUAUAGCCAGGGACACAUGGCAGGUGAAUGGCAGACCAGAAAUAAAACCCAGAUUUCUGACUGCCUAAUCAACCACAUUCUACACUAUGCCACUGUGGAAAGUUUCCAACAGGUUAAAGUAAAAACAAACAAACUCACAAACACCAACAACCAAAAAGCCCCAGAGCAUCUCUAGGAAACACCGACAUAUUUUUGCCAAGUGGGGUUUAUUCCACUUGAUGAAAGCAAUCAAGACUAAACCAAGAGAACUAGAAUUUAGAAGUUAAAGAAGAUGCCAGACUGGGCCUGUGGAUUGUUUUGUAAGAUCUUCAGCACCCAAGUUUGAUUUUCUAUAGAGAAAUGAAUAAUUGCUUUUUAAUGAAGCAUCCCAAGGAACAGAUAAUUCAUAUGUGUCAAGCACCAUGGGAUUCAGGAUGAAAAAUUCCCUCCCUUAUAAUGCUCUAAGGCAAACAUUAUAAUUUGUGAAGUUUCCUGACAGUUUUUGCAAGAAGAAUACUUACCUUUAUUUUCCAGGCCAAAUGCCAAACUAGGUAAUUAUCCUUUGCCCACUUUUCUUUCCCCAAGCUGUUUUAAUUAGAUAAGAAUUCUGCCUUCACUUCCUCUCAAGGACUGAAUUGUGAUGUUGGCACAUGCCUUUCAGCAACUGUUAAUGCCCUAGUUUGCUGAAUGCUUGUCCCUCUUCAGAAUGAAAAAAAAAAAAAAUGUUGCCAUAAGUACCUGGCUUUCUUGUGGGUACAAAAAGCUUCCUGAGGAGCAGCAGGCUGUUAGGGAGCGAAUUUCUACAUUUUCCAGAACUUGAUCUCUCAGCUUCACGUCUGCUCCAGACGCCCAGAGAGGAAUCAAUAAGCCAUACCUUCCCUGCUAGUGCAGGAUACGUGUGACGGCUAUUAAGAGGGAAAGCUCUAAUACAUUGCUCAAGAAAUAAUUAACCAGGUCAAACUCUUACAGUUAAUCCUCCACCCCAAGCCCUGUCCCCUACUCCUUCAAAAACUGCCUAAAGAAACAGUGGGUCCAGAGAGGCACAGAAGAUGUGCAGUCUAUUGACCCUUCCCGUCUUACCAGCGCGCCAUGACUUUCCCACAGUAGGAGAACAGCAGGGCCCAGUAUCCAUUCAAGCAGGGUUUUAUACUUGGAAAGAGCUGAGUUCUACCACCAAGGACCUUACUUAACAGCAAGGCUAUUUUCAGCAAGUUACUUCACUUGAAGCCUCUUUCCUCAGGCUUACAUAUUUUUUCACUUCAAAUGUCUUGGAGUUGUGCCAUAUCAGCACAUGUGAUCUACUUUAUUAUUUUUUUUCUUUGUAUUUUCAUUUUUAAAAAGUGUUUUAUUUUGACAGAGAACAUGAGUGGGGCAGGGACAGAGAGAGAGGGGGAGAGAGAAUCCCAAGCAGACUCCAGAUUCAACGCAGAGCCCUGGGUGGGGCUUGAUUUCGUGACCAUGAGAUCAUGACCUGAGCCGAAAUCAGAAGUCGGACGCUUAGCUGACUGAGCCACCCAGGCGCCCCCCAAGCAGAAUUUUUAAAAACUGUUAUAUGGCUUCUGGGUUUUUAAUCGUCUUUAGGAAGUUCUUUCUCAUUCUGAAAUAAAAGAAGUGAGAAUCUCCCAAUAUUUUUCUGAAUAUUUUGAAAUUCAUUGUUUACAUUUAAAUAUUUGAUCCAUCUGAAAUGUAUUUUAUUGUAAGCUGUGAAAUAGGGAUCUGAUUUUAUUUUAUUUUAUUUUAUAUUUUAUUUUUCCAGAUGGCCACUUAGUUGUUCCAAUGCCAUUUAUUGAAUAAUACAUCAAUCUCCCACUUAAUUUAUAAUAUUCUGACUUUCUGUGCAUAUUUUGAUAUAUUGUUAGAAUUUCCACAGUGUUCUACUGAUUUUUAAUCUGUUCUUAGGUAAAGAAAACAUUGUUUUAAUCAUUUGAGUGUUAAAAUAUACUUUCGAAAAUACUUGAUAGGGUAUCUCUCUUCUAAUUUUUUCAAGAAUUUUCCUGGCUAAUCAUGCUUGUUUACUUUUUCAUAUGAAGAAUUCCCUUAUCUAGUCCCAACCCCUCCAACAAAAUUGACUGCCAUUUUUGGGGAGGGGAGUGCAUUAAACUUAUAAUUUUUAAGGAAGACUAUGUAUUUAUGAUGUUGAAUUUUUUUAUUCAAGAAUACGAUAUGCCUUUUCAUUGAACAAUUUUUGUGUCCCUCGGUAGAAGUUUGCAUAUACAGAUGUCAUGAAGUGGAGAUAAUAUGAAGAGGGAUAGAAAUAGUACUCAAAGAGUUAUGGUACAAAUUGAAUGAAGAGAAUAUAUAGUACAUGGCCCUGAACCAUGCUUAAAACAUCUAAUGUGUGACAAAUGCACACCUUACUGCUCUAUCCUAGAAUGUGUGUGAUUAAACCAAGAAGAUAAAUCAGUCUCUCGAUAAUCGGAAA